GAGUGUCAUCAUACUACCUUUAAUGUGUCUGAUCUCAUCAAAACUCAAUAGUUAAGCAUACUUGAGCUAGAACAAUAUUGAGAUGAGUGAACUCCCCAAAAGUCAAGUCAUGGUGUUGC
rnacentral:rRNA from 1 species